rnacentral:rRNA from 1 species
UAAACGACUCUCGGCAACGGAUAUCUCGGCUCACGCAUCGAUGAAGAAGUAGCAAAAUGCGAUACUUGGUGUGAAUUGCAGAAUCCCGUGAACCAUCGAGUUUUUGAACGCAAGUUGCGCCCGAAGCCUUUUGGCCGAGGGCACGUCUGCCUGGGCGUCACAC